AGUAAAAGUCGUAACAAGGUUUCCGUAGGUGAACCUGCGGAAGGAUCAUUAAUGAAACUUGAAAAGGGUUGUAGCUGGCCUUGUAUGAGGCAUGUGCACGCCCUGCUCAUCCAUCUCACACCUGUGCACAUUUUGUAGGUUGGUUAUGGACGGUCUCCGAGAGGAACGUUCUGGCCUCCCUAUGUUUUAUUACACACUCUGUCAGUAUCAGAAUGUCAUCGCGUAUAAUCGCAUCUUAUACAACUUUCAGCAACGGAUCUCUUGGCUCUCGCAUCGAUGAAGAACGCAGCGAAAUGCGAUAAGUAAUGUGAAUUGCAGAAUUCAGUGAAUCAUCGAAUCUUUGAACGCACCUUGCGCUCCUUGGUAUUCCGAGGAGCAUGCCUGUUUGAGUGUCAUGGAAUUCUCAAUCUCACCUUUGCUUUACUGUGAAGAUGAAGAUUGGAUUUGGAGGCUUCUUGCUGGUGUUUGUCACGUCAGCUCCUCUUAAAUGCAUUAGCUUGGGACCUUUGCGGACCGGCUCCUUCAGUGUGAUAAUUGUCUACGCUGUGGGGCCGCGAAGCCAUAGCACAUAUGAUGUGGAGGUCUCGCUUCCCAUGGUCUCUUCGAUGAGACAAUAUCUUUGACCUCUGACCUCAAAUCAGGUAGGAUUACCCGCUGAACU
rnacentral:rRNA from 1 species